AAUAAUAAUAAUAAGAAUAAUCCUUAGGAAAACAAUAGGGCCCUGCGCCCAUUGGCUCGGGCCCUAAUAAUAAUUAAAGCUGCAAGCAGCGAAGAACGGGCCCUCGCACCCGGGCUCACCACCACCGGGUGGCUUUUGUAAAACAGCGAACGGUGAGAAAUAUGCGUUUAAUGUGGUAAAUAUAAGAGGAAUAUGUCAAAGUCAUUUAUAUGUGCCAAUCUUCCUGCUGCCAGCUGGUGGCGCUAUGAUUAUAACUGAACAUUGGCCUUUAGAUAUCUUCAGGCCAUGACUCUUAUCAAAUAUUUGAAGUUUGGUGCAGAUUGGACAUUGCAUGUUUAAGUUAGUGUAAAACAAGCCAUUUCCUGUUGCCAGCAGGUGGCGCUAUGAUUAUAGUGGAAUAUUGACCUUCAGAUGUGUUCAGGCCAAGACUCUUUUCGAACAUGUGAAGUUUGGGGAAGAUCGGACAUCUUAUGCCUGAGUUACAAUAACUUCUAUUCCCAUGGCGAGACAUCGAACUUUGUCACAGGGCCAUGGCCACACCCUUUAAUGAAACCUCAAGAUGUUCACAAUUUAACAUCGCAAAGGCCUUUAGAUUAGACUGACCAAAAAAAAUUAUAAAAUGUCAUAAAAUUUCUAGGAGUAGUUCGUUACAGCGUAAAACAUGACACUUCCUGUUGCCAGCAGGUGGCGCUAUGACUAUAAUCGAAUGUGGGCAUGUAGAUCUGUUCAGGUCAGAAGUCAUAUCUAACAUGUGAAGUUUGGGGCAGAUUGGACAUUGUAUGUCUGAGUUAGAGCAACUUCCUUUUUCAUGGCGAAACAUAAAAAUUUGUCAGGCCGCCAUGGACACGCCAUUUAACGAAACCUCAAGAUCUUCACAAUUUAAUAUCGCAAAGGGCUUUAGAUUACACUGACCAAUUUUGGUGUUGAUCUGAAUAAAUCCCUAGGAGGAGUUCGUUAAAGUACAACCCCCGAAAAUGGCAAAAACAACACCAAUUUUGCAGGGAAAAUUCAAAAUAACCGACUUCCUGUUGGGAUUCGGAUUUUGUACCAAGAGACUUUUUCGUAGGUAUUGGUGUGUUACAUGUGUGUACCGAUUUACGUACAUGUACGUGAAACGUAGUUCGAAAUGCACUCCGUUGAAUCUGUAUAGGUGGCGCUAUCGAGCCAUUUUGCCACACCCAAUGGAAUAUUGGCCUUCAGAUGUGUUAAGGCCAGGACUCUUAUCGAACAUGUGAAGUUUGGGCAAGAUCGGACAUUUUAUGCCUGAGUUACAAUAACUUUUAUUCCCAUGGCGAGACAUCGAACUUUGUGACGGCGCCAUGGACACGCCCUUUAACGAAAACUCAAGAUCUUCACAAUUUAACAUCGCACAGGCCUUUAGAAUAGAGUGACUGAAAAAAAAAAAUUAUGUCAUAAAAUUUCUCGGGGUAGUUUGUUACAGUGUAAAAUAUGUCACUUCCUGUUGCCAG
ensembl:lncRNA